AUACACGAAAUGUGACAGGGUCAUCCCGAGUGCCGACCGCUGAGGUUGGCUUUUACUCAGUCUAGAAAGCUGGGGGAAUAAGGAGAGGGCAAGUCUGGUGUCAGCCGCCGCGGUAAUACCAGCUCUCCGAGUGGUGUGGACGUUUAUUGGGCCUAAAGCAUCCGUAGCUGGCUGAACAAGUCCCCUGUUAAACCCACCGAUUUAAUCGUUGGCUUGCGGGGGAUACUGCUCGGCUAGGGGACGAGAGAGGCAGACGGUAUUCCCGGGGUAGGGGUGAAAUCCUAUAAUCCCGAGAAGACCACCAGUGGCGAAGGCUGUCUGCUAGAACGCGCCCGAGGGUGAGGGAUGAAAGCUGGGGGAGCGAACCGGAUUAGAUACCCGGGUAGUCCCAGCUGUAAACGAUGCAGGCUAGGUGUUUGGGCGGCCACGUGCCGCUCUAGUGCCGCAGGGAAGCUGUUAAGCCUGCCGCCUGGGGAGUACGAUCGCAAGAUUGAAACUUAAAGGAAUUGGCGGGGGAGCAC
rnacentral:rRNA from 1 species